rnacentral:rRNA from 1 species
UACGUAGGGGGCAAGCGUUGUCCGGAUUUAUUGGGCGUAAAGAGCGUGUAGGCGGUUUGGUAGGUCCGUUGUGAAAACUCGAGGCUCAACCUCGAGACGCCGAUGGAAACCAUCAGACUAGAGUCCGGGAGAGGUGAGUGGAAUUCCCAGUGUAGCGGUGAAAUGCGUAGAUAUUGGGAGGAACACCAGUGGCGAAGGCGGCUCACUGGACCGGAACUGACGCUGAUGCGCGAAAGCGUGGGGAGCAAACGGG